rnacentral:rRNA from 1 species
GAUGAACGCUGGCGGCGUGCCUAACACAUGCAAGUCGAGCGACCAGACGAGGAGCUUGCUCCUCUGCCGUUAGCGGCUGACGGGUGAGUAACACGUGGAUAACCUACUUAUUAUACUGGGAUAACUUCGUGAAACCGCAGCUAAUACCGGCUAACAUGUCGUACUGCAUGGAUCAACAGUUCUUCACGCUUUUCCUGUCACUUAUAGACGGAUCCGCGACGCCUUAGCUAAUUGGUAAGGUAACGGCUUACCAAGGCAACGAUGAGUAGCCGACCUGAGAGGGUGAUCGGACACACUGGAAAUGAGACACGGUCAAGACUACUAAGGGAGGCAGCAGUAGGGAAUCUUCCGCAAAGGGCGAAAGCAUGACGAAGCAACGCCGCGUGAGUGAAGAAGGUCUUCGGAUCGUAAAACUCUGUUAUUAGGGAAGAACAAAAGUGUAAGUAACUAUGCACGUCUGGACGGUACCUAAUCAGAAAGCAACGGCUAACUACGUG